rnacentral:rRNA from 1 species
CCUACGGGAGGCAGCAGUGAGGAAUAUUGGUCAAUGGACGAGAGCCUGAACCAGCCAAGUAGCGUGAAGGAUGACUGCCCUAUGGGUUGUAAACUUCUUUUAUAAAGGAAUAAAGCGAGGCACGUGUGCCUUGUUGCAUGUACUUUAUGAAUAAGGAUCGGCUAACUCCGGGCCAGCAGCCGCGGUAAUACGGAGGAUUCGAGCGUUAUUCGGAUUUAUUGGGGUUAAAGGGAUCGUAGAUGGGUUGUUAAGUCAGGUGGGAAAGUUGGCGGCUUAACCCUCAAAUUGCAGUUGAAACUGGCGUUCUUGAGUACAGGUGAGGUAGGCGGAAUGCGUGGUGUAGCGGUGAAAUGCUUAGAUAUCACGAAGAACUCCGAUUGCGAAGGCAGCUUACUGGCCUGCAACUGACACUGAGGCUCGAAAGUGUGGGUAUCAAACAGGAUUAGAUACCCGUGUAGUC